rnacentral:rRNA from 1 species
GAUGAACGCUGGCGGCGUGCCUAAUACAUGCAAGUCGAGCGAACAGAUGAGGAGCUUGCUCCUCUGACGUUAGCGGCGGACGGGUGAGUAACACGUGGAUAACCUACCUAUAAGACUGGGAUAACUUCGGGAAACCGGAGCUAAUACCGGAUAAUAUAUUGAACCGCAUGGUUCAAUAGUGAAAGACGGUUUUGCUGUCACUUAUAGAUGGAUCCGCGCCGCAUUAGCUAGUUGGUAAGGUAACGGCUUACCAAGGCAACGAUGCGUAGCCGACCUGAGAGGAUGAUCGGGCAAACUGGAACUGAGACAAGGUCCAGACCCCUAAGGGAGGCAGGCGUAGGGAAUUCUUCCGAAUGGGAGAAAGCCUUACCGAGCCACGCCGCGUUGGGGAAGAAAGUUCUCCGAUUCGAAAAACCCUUUAUUUGGGAAGAAACAAUGUGUAAGUAACUAUGCACGUCUUGACGGUACCUAAUCAGAAAGCCACGGCUAACUACGUG